rnacentral:rRNA from 1 species
UGGGGAAUAUUGCACAAUGGGCGCAAGCCUGAUGCAGCCAUGCCGCGUGUGUGAAGAAGGCCUUCGGGUUGUAAAGCACUUUCAGCGAGGAGGAAGGUGGUGAGCUUAAUACGCUCAUCAAUUGACGUUACUCGCAGAAGAAGCACCGGCUAACUCCGUGCCAGCAGCCGCGGUAAUACGGAGGGUGCAAGCGUUAAUCGGAAUUACUGGGCGUAAAGCGCACGCAGGCGGUUUGUUAAGUCAGAUGUGAAAUCCCCGGGCUCAACCUGGGAACUGCAUUUGAAACUGGCAAGCUAGAGUCUCGUAGAGGGGGGUAGAAUUCCAGGUGUAGCGGUGAAAUGCGUAGAGAUCUGGAGGAAUACCGGUGGCGAAGGCGGCCCCCCUGGACGAAGACUGACGCUCAGGUGCGAAAGCGUGGGGCAGCAAACAGGAUUAGAUACCCUGGUAGUCCACGCUGUAAACGAUGUCGAUUUUGGAGGUUGUGCCCUUGAGGCGUGGCUUCCGGAGCUAACGCGUUAAAUCGACCGCCUGGGGAGUACGGCCGCAAGGUUAAAACUUAAAUGAAUUGAC